UUGCCAUCAAACUGCCACCAUGCACCCUGCCUUCUGGCACGAGGACUGACAUUGUUGGCAAGCCUGGUUCCCCAACAGGGCUAUGGGCAUUUGGGACACCAAAAGUUUUCAGAUUAGUAGUUUUGCUUGCUGAUGCCACAAGAUUAGGACCCAUCUUCACAAUAUCCACAUUCAUGUCCUCAGCAAUGACAACUUCUUUCAUCUUCUCAGGCUGGCUAACUUUGGGUUCCUGGAUGAUGGGUCCCAGAGUGACACCACCAUGAACCCUCUUAUCCU
rnacentral:misc_RNA from 1 species